rnacentral:rRNA from 1 species
AUACGGAGGGUGCAAGCGUUGUUCGGAAUUACUGGGCGUAAAGGGCACGCAGGCGGCCUGUCAAGUCAGAUGUGAAAAUCCAGGGCUCAACCUUGGACGUGCAUCUGAAACUGGCAGGCUUGAGUAUGGGAGAGGAAAGUGGAAUUCCCGGUGUAGAGGUGAAAUUCGUAGAUAUCGGGAGGAAUACCUGAGGCGAAGGCGACUUUCUGGACCAAUACUGACGCUGAGGUGCGAAAGCGUGGGUAGCGAACAGGAUUAGAUACCCUGGUAGUCCACAGCUGUAAACGAUGUGCACUAGAUGUUGGGGGAGUUGACCCCUUCAGUGUCGUAGCUAACGCGAUAAGUGCACCGCCUGGGGAGUACGGCCGCAAGGUUAAA